CCUACGGGAGGCAGCAGUGAGGAAUAUUGGUCAAUGGACGAGAGUCUGAACCAGCCAAGUAGCGUGAAGGAUGACUGCCCUAUGGGUUGUAAACUUCUUUUAUAUGGGAAUAAAAUGUUCCACGUGUGGGAUUUUGUAUGUAACAUAUGAAUAAGGAUCGGCUAACUCCGUGCCAGCAGCCGCGGUAAUACGGAGGAUCCGAGCGUUAUCCGGAUUUAUUGGGUUUAAAGGGAGCGUAGGUGGAGUGUUAAGUCAGUUGUGAAAGUUUGCGGCUCAACCGUAAAAUUGCAGUUGAAACUGGCAGUCUUGAGUACAGUAGAGGUGGGCGGAAUUCGUGGUGUAGCGGUGAAAUGCUUAGAUAUCACGAAGAACUCCGAUUGCGAAGGCAGUUCACUGGACUGCAACUGACACUGAGGCUCGAAAGUGUGGGUAUCAAACAGGAUUAGAUACCCCUGUAGUC
rnacentral:rRNA from 1 species